CUGUAAUGGAAGCUAUGAAACCACCUGCCUAUUUGGGCGCCAUGGUUGGUGGUGGAGCCAGUGGCGCAACCAGCUAACUUACUG
rnacentral:ncRNA from 21 species